rfam:Haemonchus contortus, ISE/inbred ISE, WGS project CAVP01000000 data, contig: Hcontortus_30954
GUCUCGGUAGUGUAAAGGAUAAGAGCACGGUCUCCGGAAAGGACAAGUACGGGUUCGAGUCCCGUCCGAGACU